AUUGAACGCUGGCGGCAUGCCUUACACAUGCAAGUCGAACGGUAACGCGGGGCAGCCUGGCGACGAGUGGCGAACGGGUGAGUAAUGUAUCGGAACGUGCCCAGUUGUGGGGGAUAACUGCUCGAAAGAGCAGCUAAUACCGCAUACGACCUGAGGGUGAAAGCGGGGGAUCGCAAGACCUCGCGCAAUUGGAGCGGCCGAUAUCAGAUUAGGUAGUUGGUGAGGUAAAGGCUCACCGAGCCGACGAUCUGUAGCUGGUCGGAGAGGACGACCAGCCACACUGGGACUGAGACACGGCCCAGACUCCUACGGGAGGCAGCAGUGGGGAAUUUUGGACAAUGGACGCAAGUCUGAUCCAGCCAUGCCGCGUGCGGGAAGAAGGCCUUCGGGUUGUAAACCGCUUUUGUCAGGGAAGAAACGCUCUGGGUUAAUACCUCGGGGUGAUGACGGUACCUGAAGAAUAAGCACCGGCUAACUUCGUGCCAGCCGCCGCAGUAA
rnacentral:rRNA from 1 species